CCAAAGUAGUGCUGCUACACACCAUGAACAAGAAAGAGAAGACCUCAGCCUGCAUGAACGGUCUUGAAAUGCGAAUGGUCUUGGGUCUAGGCUUUUUAUAUUGAGUUUCUCUACUGUCUCCCCUUCUGCUCAAGCAAAAUCUGUGUGAAAAGAUCUGCUGGGAAGGAGCUGACUGCUUAUGAUUCUCCAUUGUGAUGAAAGCACGUGGUACAGGUCUUGCGAUACAGACGUGUCUCUGCUUGCUUGGAAUUCAAAAUGCUUCGGAUAAAGAAUAUUGCAGAGUGAAAUUUGUGGCAGAAAAUGUGCCCGAUUGUUUGUUUAUUAUUCCUGAGGGUGUUUGCAGGGCUGAACUAUCACAUGUAGAAAAGAACAGCUUUGUUUGGAAAAUACAGUAGGAGCAGUACUAGAAAACUGAAUUAAGUAAAGAAACUUAGGGAGUCCAUCUUUGACUGAUGAUGCUUCUUAUUUGCUCUUCAUUAUUCCCUGUGAAGGAAUAAAAACUAUGAAAUUGGAUUUGAAAACUGAAUUAAGACAAAUGGCUUCUCAGAUUUUUUUUUACCUAAACCGUUUGCGAAUUUUCUAG
rnacentral:lncRNA from 1 species